AUGUGGCCAAAUUUUUAUACAAAUACUUGAAUAAUUAUUCAACAAAUGUAAACAAAUUGGACGCUUAUUCUCGGCCACCUGGGAGCAUUGGAAGAGGAGAGGCGCAAACUUACUAAUUACCUCAGCCAGAACUACGACAGAAGCAGCCCAAUUUUUCGCACCGGCUAUGUCAGCAAAGCUAGAACUGAGAAUUAAGCAAGGAAUCAUCGGCAUUGAGGUAGAAGUUCGGACGUACGAACUCUACGCCGCCACGACCAAAUUAAACACAAUCUUCCAUGACGGCGAAAUCAACAAAACCAAUUGGCAGGCCCAAAGAGCGGUGCUAGAAGAAGUCGGAGAAUAUUUCAGCACCGCCUUUGUAGCUGACCAGCUAGCGAGCGACAUCGUCCAAACAAUCAACAAUUAUACUGCAUUAAUGAAUACGCUGCUGGAGGACUACCCCGACGAAACGAUCCAUUCCUACAGGACAAGCCGGGACUUACUGGAAUAUUUCUUUUGCAAAAUAGCGCUAGAGGGCAAAAGAAGACCAGACCAGCGUUACCUAUAAUGAACUUUGUCAAACGCCUAAUUCAAUUGCAAAUGGAAUUUUGGGGAAGCGGACGAUCGACCGCAAACAAUUACCAUGUUGUAAAAUUGGUGGAAUGCAGCACGGAAGACCAAGACCAGACCGAUGAAGGUUUUCGCCCAUUUUGCCUAGAUGGUGUGACAUUCAACGGUAUAUUCCCUCGUCAACUAACAAACCACGAGGAGGAGUACAUCUGGCUACUCACGGGCUACGUACUAGUUCAGUACGUACGCAAGUAGCUGCGUUGCCAAGCACGUUUAAAAGACUUUACGAAAAGAAUACAAGACGCAAAUGACGCAAGAGACUUACCCAGCGAAACCCACUAAUAUCUGGAACCAGAGUUUGCAAAGCCGGAAGUAUAUGACGCAUUUCAUAACGCCUGCAGCAUAUACAAGGCUGUGAUGAUGAAACAUAUGGUGAAACGGGACAUCGGCAAGCGCCUCCAGGCAACAAUACUAGCACGGGUUGCCUUCUUCAGGGAGGCACUGGGUGCAAAAAAUCGUAAAAAACGUGUCUUCAUUUUAAAAGUGCAGCUUUCUGGUCGCUGCCUCGCCGCCUCCUUAAAGUGCAGCUCUCUUGUCGCCGCCUCGCCGCCUCGCCGCCUCAUAUUGAUAAAGAUGAAAAUUCGCUACAUGCCAAAAAUAAGUUUGCAUUUACCCUUACUUAUUCCUAUUUAUAAUUUAUUUAAUUACUUCUAUUUUAUUUCAGAUAGAUCAAUUCAUCCACUUGGGCUACGAGGAGCAAUGUCGUUUGCUUUGGCAAUAAGAAACACUUUAUCAGAGGACCGCUAAACCUUGCUAACCGCCACUUCUUUAAUUGUUAUAUUCACAGUCAUCAAGGUGGUGCCGCAAAUUUUUUACUUGGAAACGGGGACCUUAUAUAAAGAUGUUUUGACAGCCCUCGUGGAGGCGAAUUUGUUGAAAUUGAAUGGUGCCGUCACUCACGCCUUACGACCGACUGUCACUUUUAUACCCACCAUAACGUUGGGCGGUUCCCAAGGUCGCCAAGCCGCUAUAUUAAAAAAUAUAUUCGGCAAAAUUUGCAAAAUUGCUGGAGCACAUAAAGAUAUAGAGGCAAGUUGUUGCGAGUACCUUUAAAAUUUCCAAGUCAAUCAGUUCAUGACGUAUGUUACGCAACUAUUGAGUUCUUAGUUGCGACGGCUUGCCCACUCUUCUACUCUUCCAAUUGUGUAUAAAAUUCAAUGAUGUACUACGGAAUAUCAUGGUUUAUUUAACAUUCAAGAGUUCGAGAUUGUAUGUGUUCACCAAAGGCUUCUAUUCUAUUCUGAGAGUUUUGUAAAAAUCUCAUGGAGACAUACUUGGCAAUACUCUAAUAUAUAUGGAUUCGCGAUGUGGUUGCCAACACACAUUGAUAUUAAUCAAUAAUGGCUUAUAUUGGGCAUUAGGACUCAAUGGCACUGCAGCCAAUGCUUGUACGCACUCUUGAUGGCAUGGAUGUUACCGUAUUGGAAGCUGGACAAUAUCACAACGCUGUUGUUACCAACGGUCUAUUGCUCACUUGGGGGUGAGUUAUUUUUUAUAAAAAAAAUAUGUUUGACCUUGCGGAUGUUUUAUACCUUUACCAGACUACAACCAAUCGCCACGUAACAUGUGUCAGUGUCGAAUGGCUAAGCAGACAGAUGGGUACACCGUGCUUAAAUUGGCUUAAGCAAUUGUGACGGUUAUUUCUUAUACCGGCUACGACAUGGAGGAUGCCAUGAUUAUAAAUAAAUCUGCCUAUGAACAUGGUUUCGCUCACGGUAGCAUCUAUAUAUCAAAAUGUUUUGAAUUGAGUGGAACUUGCUAUUUUGCUCGUAGUCCGCAAAUGCCAGAGCU